rnacentral:rRNA from 1 species
GACAGAGGAGCCAAGCGUUGUCCGGAUUUACUGGGCGUAAAGGGCGCGUAGGCGGCGUGUUAAGUCAGCUGUGAAAUCUCCGAGCUUAACUCGGAACGGUCAGCUGAUACUGAUGUGCUAGAGUGCAGAAGGGGCAAUCGGAAUUCUUGGUGUAGCGGUGAAAUGCGUAGAUAUCAAGAGGAACACCUGAGGUGAAGACGGGUUGCUGGGCUGACACUGACGCUGAGGCGCGAAAGCCAGGGGAGCAAACGGG